rnacentral:lncRNA from 1 species
UCAUGAGAUAGAUGUAAGUAUAUUUCUUUCCUCUCCCACAGUCCAUGUGAAGGUUCAGCAUUCUUCAGUGACAUCGGGAUUAUGUCAUAGGAAAAAGGUACUCUGAUAUAAAGUCAUGAGCCAUAAUUCAUUUUA